AGCCCACAGGAGCGUACCAAGAUGCAGCAGCUGCUAAGGGAGAAGCAAGACACCUUCUCCAAUGUGCCUGGGUACACUCCUCUGGCCACUCACCGAGUAAAAACCCCAGGGCAACUACCCAUGCACCAGACUCCCUACCGCAUCCCUGAAGCAGUGCGGGAGAACAUGCACAAGGAGAUUGACGAGAUGCUCCAGUUGGGGGUGAUUGAGCCAUCGGAUAGCCCCUGGGCCUCCCCAGCAGUCUUCGUACCUGCCGGGAUGGUACGACCCGCUUCUGCGUAGACUACCGGAGGUUAAACUAGAAGACAGUGUCUGAUGCCUAUCCUAUGCCUAGGAUAGAUUAACUGCUAGACCGAAUGGCCAGAGGCUACUACUAUUGAUGUAUGUAAGGGUGUGAUGAAGUGCCCUUCGCCACUUUGUCCUGGAGAGGCCUGCUUGCCUGCCUCCUCCCCUGCGACUAUGGCCCUGUGGAGAUUGUAC